rnacentral:rRNA from 1 species
UUGAACGCUGGCGGCAUGCCUUACCCCUGCAAGUCGAACGGUAACAGGUCUUCGGAUGCUGACGAGUGGCGACCGGGUGAGUAAUACAUCGGAACGUGCCCGAUCGUGGGGGAUAACGGAGCGAAAGCUUUGCUAAUACCGCAUACGAUCUACGGAUGAAAGCAGGGGACCGCAAGGCCUUGCGCGGACGGAGCGGCCGAUGGCAGAUUAGGUAGUUGGUGGGAUAAAAGCUUACCAAGCCGACGAUCUGUAGCUGGUCUGAGAGGACGACCAGCCACACUGGGACUGAGACACGGCCCAGACUCCUACGGGAGGCAGCAGUGGGGAAUUUUGGACAAUGGGCGAAAGCCUGAUCCAGCCAUGCCGCGUGCAGGAUGAAGGCCUUCGGGUUGUAAACUGCUUUUGUACGGAACGAAAAGACUCUUUCUAAUAAAGAGGGUCCAUGACGGUACCGUAAGAAUAAGCACCGGCUAACUACGUG